rnacentral:rRNA from 1 species
AAAGAAUGGUUGGACGAGAUAUAAGCUGUUUCAUUUAAAAUUUAUAUAGAAUUUUAUUUUUUAGUUAAAAAGCUAAAAUAUAAUCAAAAGACGAGAAGACCCUAUAAAUCUUAAUUAUUUAAUAAUUUUUAAUUUAUUUUGGUUUUUUUUAUUAUAAGUUUGUUAAAUAAUUUUAUUGGGGUGAUAUUAAAAUUUAAAUAACUUUUAAUACUUUUUGUCAUUUAUUUAUGAUUAAGUGAUCCAUUAUUAGUGAUUAAAAAAUUAAGUUACUUUAGGGAUAACAGCGUAAUUUUUUUGGAGAGUUCUUAUCGAUAAAAAAGUUUGCGACCUCGAUGUUGGAUUAAGAUUCAUAUUUAAGUGUAGAAGUUUAAAUAUUAAGUCUGUUCGACUUUUUAUUCUUACAUGAUCUGAGUUCAAACCGGUGUAAGCCAGGUUGGUUUCUAUCUUUGAUUUAAUAAAAUAUUUUAGUACGAAAGGAAUUAAUAUUUAUUUUUAAGAAAUUAUUUUAUGAAUAAAUUUUAUUACUAU